UAGUGUUGUUGGGUAGGGGAGCGUUCUGUAAGCCGUUGAAGGUGUCCUGUGAGGGGUGCUGGAGGUAUCAGAAGUGCGAAUGCUGACAUAAGUAACGAUAAAGCGGGUGAAAAGCCCGCUCGCCGGAAGACCAAGGGUUCCUGUCCAACGUUAAUCGGGGCAGGGUGAGUCGACCCCUAAGGCGAGGCCGAAAGGCGUAGUCGAUGGGAAACGGGUUAAUAUUCCCGUACUUGGUGUUACUGCGAAGGGGGGACGGAGAAGGCUAUGUUGGCCGGGCGACGGUUGUCCCGGUUUAAGCGUGUAGGUGUGUGUUCCAGGUAAAUCCGGUUCACUUUAACACUGAGGCGUGAUGACGAGGCACCACGGUGCUGAAGCAACAAAUGCCCUGCUUCCAGGAAAAGCCUCUAAGCAUCAGGUAACAUCAAAUCGUACCCCAAACCGACACAGGUGGUCAGGUAGAGAAUACCAAGGCGCUUGAGAGAACUCGGGUGAAGGAACUAGGCAAAAUGGUGCCGUAACUUCGGGAGAAGGCACGCUGACACGUAGGUGAAGUGAUUUACUCAUGGAGCUGAAGUCAGUCGAAGAUACCAGCUGGCUGCAACUGUUUAUUAAAAACACAGCACUGUGCAAACACGAAAGUGGACGUAUACGGUGUGACGCCUGCCCGGUGCCGGAAGGUUAAUUGAUGGGGUCAGCGCAAGCGAAGCUCCUGAUCGAAGCCCCGGUAAACGGCGGCCGUAACUAUAACGGUCCUAAGGUAGCGAAAUUCCUUGUCGGGUAAGUUCCGACCUGCACGAAUGGCGUAAUGAUGGCCAGGCUGUCUCCACCCGAGACUCAGUGAAAUUGAACUCGCUGUGAAGAUGCAGUGUACCCGCGGCAAGACGGAAAGACCCCGUGAACCUUUACUAUAGCUUGACACUGAACAUUGAGCCUUGAUGUGUAGGAUAGGUGGGAGGCUUUGAAGCGUGGACGCCAGUCUGCGUGGAGCCGACCUUGAAAUACCACCCUUUAAUGUUUGAUGUUCUAACGUGGACCCGUAAUCCGGGUUGCGGACAGUGUCUGGUGGGUAGUUUGACUGGGGCGGUCUCCUCCUAAAGAGUAACGGAGGAGCACGAAGGUUGGCUAAUCCUGGUCGGACAUCAGGAGGUUAGUGCAAUGGCAUAAGCCAGCUUGACUGCGAGCGUGACGGCGCGAGCAGGUGCGAAAGCAGGUCAUAGUGAUCCGGUGGUUCUGAAUGGAAGGGCCAUCGCUCAACGGAUAAAAGGUACUCCGGGGAUAACAGGCUGAUACCGCCCAAGAGUUCAUAUCGACGGCGGUGUUUGGCACCUCGAUGUCGGCUCAUCACAUCCUGGGGCUGAAGUAGGUCCCAAGGGUAUGGCUGUUCGCCAUUUAAAGUGGUACGCGAGCUGGGUUUAGAACGUCGUGAGACAGUUCGGUCCCUAUCUGCCGUGGGCGCUGGAAGACUGAGGGGGGCUGCUCCUAGUACGAGAGGACCGGAGUGGACGCAUCACUGGUGUUCGGGUUGUCAUGCCAAUGGCACUGCCCGGUAGCUAAAUGCGGAAAAGAUAAGUGCUGAAAGCAUCUAAGCACGAAACUUGCCCCGAGAUGAGUCUUCCCUGAGACCUUGAGUCUCCUGAAGGAACGUUAAAGACGAUGACGUUGAUAGGCCGGGUGUGUAAGCGCAGCGAUGCGUUGAGCUAACCGGUACUAAUGAACCGUGAGGCUUAACCUUACAACGCCGAAG
rnacentral:rRNA from 1 species